rnacentral:lncRNA from 1 species
AGGGGGAGUCCAUGUUCAAGGUCAUAUUUUUUCUUGUGUUUUAACCACCUUUAAAAAAAACAUUAUUAUAUAAUCUGCAACAAUUCUCGAGCAAGUGUUCGAGGGGACUGAAGGAAAUGAAAUUCAAACUUUUAACAUUUUUACAAAAGUUGAAUUCAUAGAGCAAACCGAGUGUGCUAAGCCUCAUUCUUUAUCACAAGCGAGCUGUCAUUUUGUUUCUUCAAGAAAGUUCUAUUUAACAUUUCAUGAUCAUAGGAAAUCCCACUUGUAAUAAUACCCCUUCUACUCCCAUCUCUUUAGUCUCUUCCACUGUAAUUGUCCAUUUUACAAUGUUUUACUGUACUUUCAGUAAUGUCUUAUGACAUAUUGGGUGCAUAGUUCUUAGGGGUACAAUUUCUGCAUGCAUCAAAGUUUUGUUAAAUUUAUGUUUGUUUUUGUCAGGCUUAUCUUACACCAGGGCACGUAACUUCAGCGUUACAGGGUGGAGUGCCACAAACCUGCAGCUCUUACAGGUCUCUAUACAACUACAGCAUGGAUCCAGAAGUCCCCCACUGGGAUCGAUGGGACCGGAGCACCUGCUGGUCUGCACUGGGCCUGCGACGGUCAGACUCUGACCGGCACAUGCCUUGCUUCCUUGUGAGAAAGCCUGGGAUCUCCUUGUUCCACCUCCGCAGGGGGUGCCAACAGCCAUAUCCAUCACAGGGAGAGAUGAGCUGUGCUCUUCCAAUAUGGUGGCUUACCAGCGGUCCAAUCCCCACGCCGGGACUCUCAUUGCACCCCUGCUGAGGAACACACUGCACCUGUGCCAUUCUGGGAAUCCAGCAACGGAUACUCCGCUUCGUGUCCUCAGCCCUCCAUUAUGAAAUUUAUUAAGCUAUGAUCCUUUUUCUCCAGGGCACUGGAACGCACGCACUAACCUCACUCACACAGUCCUAGUAAAUAACUUCAGUCUGUGCUCAGCCUUCUUAACUGUGCUUCACCAGAUGUUCUCUCUCUCUCCUUUUCUUUGAUAAUUCACAGCUGAUGUCAAAAUGGGAAGUGAUUUUUUUUCAGGUCUUUUACCCCUAAACAUAUAUUUCAUCUUUAAAAAUAUUUGCAGGAGACAUUUGUGAGAAAUCAUCAUAUAGAUACAACAGGCUCAUUGAUUUCUUCCUGUCCUUUACAAGAAGUCUUAUAAAAAAUCAUAGUGCUCACUUUUAAUAACAGAUAAUCCUUUUUUUCUUCUUAUUUGAAAAUCCAUACACUCUUGAAAACGUAGGUACAUUAAUUAUACUAUAUUAACACCGUAAUUACCUUGUAAUUGUAUGGAAUUCACACUUUGAAACAUGUAUUUACAAAAACUGUAGAUGUCAUGAGCAAUAAUGUUAUUGCAUUAUGUAAUUACUACUUUAGCAAUGUGUAAUACUUUUAAGUUUACACAUAUAUCUACUUUUUGACGUUUUGUUGGUAAUGUGGUAUAAUUACAUUUUUCAAUAAUCCUAUGAGAUAACCAGUAAUUACAUUGCAAAUGUAUUUUUUCACAGCAUGCCAUUCUAUAUUUGCAACUGAUUUAUCUUGUAUAACUUAAGCUAUAAUUACAUAAUGCAGGUACAAUGUUGCUCAUACGAUUUAUAUGUAAAUGCAUAUCUCAAAGUUACAAGGUAAUUAAAGUGUAACUACUCAGAAAUUAAAGUAUUAGUAUUUUCAUUUGCAUCUGGAAUUUUGUGAACUAAAAUACCAUUCUAGAACUUAGUUAACAACUCAAAAAGCCACAUAGUACAAAAAUAGUACAAAAAGUCACAUGAGCACAUAGACAGUUCACAGGAACUGUGUAGAGCAUAUUGAUCUGUUACUAAUUUUACGUUUACUUCAUAGCACUAAAUAAGCCAUUCUUACUAAUUCUAGUGAAGCACAUGAGUGAAAUAACUAGCUAAAACAAUGAUUAGGCUUUUAAUUUUACAGAAAGUGCACAGAAAGAAAGCAGAACUGUACAAUAUGCCUUAAUG